rnacentral:rRNA from 1 species
GCGGAGGAAAAGAAACCAAAUGGGAUCCCCUGAGUAAUGGCGAAUGAAACGGGGUUAGCUCAUUGCAAAGGUAUAUCAAGAUGACAACUUGAUAUGCAGUGCUGCAUUUAUACAGUGUGAUACAUGUUGCCUAAGACACAGCUACAUAUUCCUUUGAAUGGGGUCUAUUACCCAUAGACGGUGCUAGGCCGUUAGUUGCUUGUGUUGCUAAGCACAAUCUCCUGUAUAUUAGAGUCAGGUUGCUUGAGAGUGCAACCUAAAAUUGCAGGUAAACUCCUGCAAAAGCUAAAUAUGCUGAUGAUACCGAUAGUAAACAAGUACCGUGAGGGAAAGUUGCAAAGAACUUUGAAGAGAGAGUUCAAAAGGACGUGAAACCACUUGCAAGUAAACAGAUGGAACCACGAAGUGUAGCUGAGAAAAGAAUUCACUUUACUUAAGGUACAUUUGUAAUUGGGAGUAGUUUGUAUACUUUGCAUACUACAUGCUGGUAUUGUUAAGUACAGCAUAAGCUCUUGUUACAAAUAAAUAUGUGCAAUUAUAGUAAAUGCAUUUUCACUUUUCUCAUGCUCGAGCCUUGUACAAUAGGGAUAAAAAAAUUGCACAAGGAAAAUAUUGCAUAGCAUAUACAUUCUAUGUAUUCAGUAGUAUAAGGUUGCUUUAUACUAGUAGAAUUGUCUAUUUAGUUAUAAAUGCAAAUUAUGCUAUACACACACUGUUUUGUAUUAUAUAAAUGUGUUGAUUUUUAUUGUGUGUUUGUGCUUGUAUUUUUGUAUGUUAUUUGGUAGCUAGAUGUUCAAUCUACUAUCAAAGAAGCAUGCAUUAAUAUAAUAUACAAAUAGAUAAUACUAAUCAUCAUAAACACAUAUUAUAUGAUGCAAGGUAAAAAUAUUUUCCUCCCUAUUGUUUAUGAAAGUUUCUCUAAGGAGAAUGAUAAGUGCAAAAUGAUAAAGGGUAGAAUAUCUAUAUGCUUUAUUUGUCUAUCAAUGUAUAUGAUAAAAAAUGUUACAUUCUUAUUCUAUCUAUUGAAUUAGAGUAACAGAUUGAUAGAUUGACUGAAUAUGCAUACUAGAUAAUUUUAAAUUAAAAUCUACCUGUAUAUAUACAUAUGCAUAAUAAUAAUAAUGGAUAAAAAUAGCUUAGCUUCUUCAUCAUUAUCAUCUUAUAGUGGUGUGUUGGAGUAGCUGUGCUGCAAUUCUUUAUCUAUGCAUUUAUUGUAUGCAUUUGUAUGAAAUCUAAGGCCAGUAGAUCGGUAAUCCAUCUGACCCGUCUUGAAACACGGACCAAGGAGUCUAACAUGUACGCAAGCAUAAAAGUCUUGUAUAGGCUUAAUUGAAAUUGUAUUUAUUACAUUUAAUAUGUAUGCACAAUGAAAGUAAAAAAAUACUCUUCUAAGUGAGUAUUGAUCAAAUAUAAAUAGGAAGUAGUAUUACUAGUAAAAUAGUAGUAUUACUUUUUUUAUUGAUAUUUGAUAAAAAAUAGUAUUAUGAUAUAUUAAUAGUAGUUGUUUUCAGUAAUAGUGUUGCUAACUAUUGCUAUUAAAAUCAUAUCACUAUUGGCCCGUAGUUGAAAGCAAAGCUUUUCUACGGAGUCUGAGUGUACAUGUUGGUACCCGAAAGAUGGUGAACUAUGCUUGGGACAGAUGAAGCCAGAGGAAACUCUGGUGGAGGUCUGUAGCGAUUCUGACGUGCAAAUCGAUCGUCAGACCCGAGUAUAGGGGCGAAAGACUAAUCGAACCAUCUAGUAGCUGGUUUACUCUGAAGUUUCCCUCAGGAUAGCUGGCACAUAUAUAAUAGAGAUGUGUGUGAGUGUAUCUUUGUUAUACCUCCUCCUCAUCCUCUCUAUUAAAGCAGUAGAAUCCGAUAGAGCGAAUGAUUAGAGGUAUUGGGAUCGAAACGAUCUCAACCUAUUCUCAAACUCCGAAUGGGUUCGUUGAUUAUUAUCCAUGAAAGAUUAAUAAUGUUGUAGUAGUAUGUUGCAUUAUGCUGUAUAUAAAUAGGGCUUGAUAGGAUGGAUGAUGAUGCCAUGAUGUUUUUACAAACAUUAUGUGUUGAUCAUUAUGUAUCUUAUGCUUGUUUACUAUUAUAUGCACUUAAUGAUAUACUGCUGCUGCAUCUAGCAUUAUUAUUACUUUCAUGUGAAAUACAUACAUAUACUUGUACUUAACUUAUUGCGCUUAAAGUUAUCAAUGUAUGCUUUGUGCCUAGUGGGCCAUUUUUGGUAAGCAGAACUGGCGAUGUGGGAUGAACCAUACGUAGGGUUAAGGCGCCCGAUGCAGACGCUCAUGAGAUACCAUGAAAGGUGUUAGUUGCUAAAGACAGCAGGACGGUGGCCAUGGAAGUNNNNNUCUAAUUAGUGACGCGCAUGAAUGGAUUAACGAGAUUCCCACUGUCCCUAACUACUAUCUAGCGAAACCACAGCCAAGGGAACGGGCUUGGAAAAAUCAGCGGGGAAAGAAGACCCUGUUGAGCUUGACUCUAGUCUGACUUUGUGAAGAGACAUA